rnacentral:rRNA from 1 species
GACGAACGCUGGCGGCGUGCCUAAAACAUGCAAGUCGAACGGAGGCUUCGGCCUUAGUGGCGAACGGCGGAGUAAUACAUAAGCAACGUGCCCUGAAGACUGGGAUAGUCAGUGGAAACGCUGGGUAAUACCGGAUGUGGCCACCCUUAGGAUCUAGGGGUGAUUAAAUGGUUUUUCGCUUCAGGAGCGGCUUAUGGCCUAUCAGCUAGUUGGUGAGGUAACGGCUCACCAAGGCGACGACGGGUAGGCGGGUCUGAGAGGACGAUCCGCCCGAGUGGGACUGAGACACGGCCCAGACUCCUACGGGAGGGCAGCAGUGGGGAAGUCUUGCGCAAUGGGCGAAAGCCUGACGCAGCGACGCCGCGUGGGGGAAGAAGGCCUCGGUUGU